CUUUUUCCAAUUUCUCAACUAUAAAUACCCCCCUCAUUCUUUCAUUUUUAUUCACCAAUUCAUUAAUAUCUCUCAAUCUUUCUACUACAAUUGCUUAAUUUAUUGUUGAAAAUUUAUGAAAAAUUGUGAAGUUGUUGAAUUGAAGUUUUCAAGUGUUCAACGAUUUUCAAUUUUCAAGAAGUUGUUCGGCAAUCCGGUAAACUCGUUUCAACUCAUACG
rnacentral:lncRNA from 1 species